UACGUAGGGUGCGAGCGUUAAUCGGAAUUACUGGGCGUAAAGUGUGCGCAGGCGGCGCUGCAAGUCGAGUGUGAAAAUCCCCGAGCUUAACUUGGGAAUUGCGCUCGAAACUACGGCGCUGGAGUAUGGCAGAGGAAGGUGGAAUUCCACGUGUAGCGGUGAAAUGCGUAGAUAUGACAUAGAACACCAAUUGCGAAGGCAGCUGGCUACGCGAAUAUUGACACUGAUGCACGAAAAGCGUGGGGGAUCAAACAGG
rnacentral:rRNA from 1 species